UGGGAGUGUGUACUGGGGAGCUCAG
rnacentral:misc_RNA from 1 species